UGGUAGUNCACGCCGUAAACGAUGAGUGCUAGGUGUUAGGCCCUUUCCGGGGCUUAGUGCCGGAGCUAACGCAAUAAGCACUCCGCCUGGGGAGUACGACCGCAAGGUUGAAACUCAAAGGAAUUGACGGGGGCCCGCACAAGCGGUGGAGCAUGUGGUUUAAUUCGAAGCAACGCGAAGAACCUUACCAGGUCUUGACAUCCCGAUGCUAUUCUUAGAGAUAGGAAGUUACUUCGGUACAUCGGAGACAGGUGGUGCAUGGUUGUUGUCAGCUCGUGUCGUGAGAUGUUGGGUUAAGUCCCGCAACGAGCGCAACCCUUAUUGUUAGUUGCCAUCAUUAAGUUGGGCACUCUAGCGAGACUGCCGGUAAUAAACCGGAGGAAGGUGGGAUGACGUCAAAUCAUCAUGCCCCUUAUGACCUGGGCUACACACGUGCUACAAUGGUCGGUACAACGAGUUGCGAGCCGGUGACGGCAAGCUAAUCUCUGAAAGCCGAUCUCAGUUCGGAUUGGAGGCUGCAACUCGCCUCCAUGAAGUCGGAAUCGCUAGUAAUCGCGGAUCAGCACGCCGCGGUGAAUACGUUCCCGGGCCUUGUACACACCGCCCGUCACACCACGAGAGUUUGUAACACCCGA
rnacentral:rRNA from 1 species